rnacentral:rRNA from 1 species
UACGUAGGCAGCAAGCGUUGUUCGGAGUUACUGGGCGUAAAGGGUGUGUAGGCGGUUAUUUAAGUUUGGUGUGAAAUCCCCCGGCUCAACUGGGGAACUGCAAGGGAUACAGCGGGGCUUGAGUUCGGGAGAGGGAAGCGGAAUUCCGGGUGUAGCGGUGAAAUGCGUAGAUAUCCGGAGGAACACCGGUGGCGAAGGCG